rnacentral:rRNA from 1 species
CCUACGGGCGGCAGCAGUGGGGAAUAUUGGACAAUGGGCGAAAGCCUGAUCCAGCCAUGCCGCGUGUGUGAAGAAGGCCUUCGGGUUGUAAAGCACUUUCAGUGGGGAAGAAAGCCUUGGGGCUAAUACCCUCGAGGAAGGACAUCACCCACAGAAGAAGCACCGGCUAACUCCGUGCCAGCAGCCGCGGUAAUACGGAGGGUGCGAGCGUUAAUCGGAAUUACUGGGCGUAAAGCGCGCGUAGGCGGUCUGAUAAGCCGGUUGUGAAAGCCCCGGGCUCAACCUGGGAACGGCAUCCGGAACUGUCAGGCUAGAGUGCAGGAAAGGAAGGUAGAAAUCCCGGUGUAGCGGUGAAAUGCGUAGAGAUCGGGAGGAAUACCAGUGGCGAAGGCGGCCUUCUGGACUGACACUGACGCUGAGGUGCGAAAGCGUGGGUAGCAAACAGGAAUAGAUACCCCAGUAGUC